AGCGUACACGGUGGAUGCCCUGGCAGUCAGAGGCGAUGAAGGACGUGCUAAUCUGCGAUAAGCGUCGGUAAGGUGAUAUGAACCGUUAUAACCGGCGAUUUCCGAAUGGGGAAACCCAGUGUGUUUCGACACACUAUCAUUAACUGAAUCCAUAGGUUAAUGAGGCGAACCGGGGGAACUGAAACAUCUAAGUACCCCGAGGAAAAGAAAUCAACCGAGAUUCCCCCAGUAGCGGCGAGCGAACGGGGAGCAGCCCAGAGCCUGAAUCAGUGUGUGUGUUAGUGGAAGCGUCUGGAAAGGCGCGCGAUACAGGGUGACAGCCCCGUACACAAAAAUGCACAUGCUGUGAGCUCGAUGAGUAGGGCGGGACACGUGGUAUCCUGUCUGAAUAUGGGGGGACCAUCCUCCAAGGCUAAAUACUCCUGACUGACCGAUAGUGAACCAGUACCGUGAGGGAAAGGCGAAAAGAACCCCGGCGAGGGGAGUGAAAAAGAACCUGAAACCGUGUACGUACAAGCAGUGGGAGCCUCUUUAUGGGGUGACUGCGUACCUUUUGUAUAAUGGGUCAGCGACUUAUAUUCUGUAGCAAGGUUAACCGAAUAGGGGAGCCGAAGGGAAACCGAGUCUUAACUGGGCGUUAAGUUGCAGGGUAUAGACCCGAAACCCGGUGAUCUAGCCAUGGGCAGGUUGAAGGUUGGGUAACACUAACUGGAGGACCGAACCGACUAAUGUUGAAAAAUUAGCGGAUGACUUGUGGCUGGGGGUGAAAGGCCAAUCAAACCGGGAGAUAGCUGGUUCUCCCCGAAAGCUAUUUAGGUAGCGCCUCGUGAAUUCAUCUCCGGGGGUAGAGCACUGUUUCGGCAAGGGGGUCAUCCCGACUUACCAACCCGAUGCAAACUGCGAAUACCGGAGAAUGUUAUCACGGGAGACACACGGCGGGUGCUAACGUCCGUCGUGAAGAGGGAAACAACCCAGACCGCCAGCUAAGGUCCCAAAGUCAUGGUUAAGUGGGAAACGAUGUGGGAAGGCCCAGACAGCCAGGAUGUUGGCUUAGAAGCAGCCAUCAUUUAAAGAAAGCGUAAUAGCUCACUGGUCGAGUCGGCCUGCGCGGAAGAUGUAACGGGGCUAAACCAUGCACCGAAGCUGCGGCAGCGACGCUUAUGCGUUGUUGGGUAGGGGAGCGUUCUGUAAGCCUGUGAAGGUGUGCUGUGAGGCAUGCUGGAGGUAUCAGAAGUGCGAAUGCUGACAUAAGUAACGAUAAAGCGGGUGAAAAGCCCGCUCGCCGGAAGACCAAGGGUUCCUGUCCAACGUUAAUCGGGGCAGGGUGAGUCGACCCCUAAGGCGAGGCCGAAAGGCGUAGUCGAUGGGAAACAGGUUAAUAUUCCUGUACUUGGUGUUACUGCGAAGGGGGGACGGAGAAGGCUAUGUUGGCCGGGCGACGGUUGUCCCGGUUUAAGCGUGUAGGCUGGUUUUCCAGGCAAAUCCGGAAAAUCAAGGCUGAGGCGUGAUGACGAGGCACUACGGUGCUGAAGCAACAAAUGCCCUGCUUCCAGGAAAAGCCUCUAAGCAUCAGGUAACAUCAAAUCGUACCCCAAACCGACACAGGUGGUCAGGUAGAGAAUACCAAGGCGCUUGAGAGAACUCGGGUGAAGGAACUAGGCAAAAUGGUGCCGUAACUUCGGGAGAAGGCACGCUGAUAUGUAGGUGAAGCGACUUGCUCGUGGAGCUGAAAUCAGUCGAAGAUACCAGCUGGCUGCAACUGUUUAUUAAAAACACAGCACUGUGCAAACACGAAAGUGGACGUAUACGGUGUGACGCCUGCCCGGUGCCGGAAGGUUAAUUGAUGGGGUCAGCGCAAGCGAAGCUCUUGAUCGAAGCCCCGGUAAACGGCGGCCGUAACUAUAACGGUCCUAAGGUAGCGAAAUUCCUUGUCGGGUAAGUUCCGACCUGCACGAAUGGCGUAAUGAUGGCCAGGCUGUCUCCACCCGAGACUCAGUGAAAUUGAACUCGCUGUGAAGAUGCAGUGUACCCGCGGCAAGACGGAAAGACCCCGUGAACCUUUACUAUAGCUUGACACUGAACAUUGAGCCUUGAUGUGUAGGAUAGGUGGGAGGCUUUGAAGUGUGGACGCCAGUCUGCAUGGAGCCGACCUUGAAAUACCACCCUUUAAUGUUUGAUGUUCUAACGUUGACCCGUAAUCCGGGUUGCGGACAGUGUCUGGUGGGUAGUUUGACUGGGGCGGUCUCCUCCUAAAGAGUAACGGAGGAGCACGAAGGUUGGCUAAUCCUGGUCGGACAUCAGGAGGUUAGUGCAAUGGCAUAAGCCAGCUUGACUGCGAGCGUGACGGCGCGAGCAGGUGCGAAAGCAGGUCAUAGUGAUCCGGUGGUUCUGAAUGGAAGGGCCAUCGCUCAACGGAUAAAAGGUACUCCGGGGAUAACAGGCUGAUACCGCCCAAGAGUUCAUAUCGACGGCGGUGUUUGGCACCUCGAUGUCGGCUCAUCACAUCCUGGGGCUGAAGUAGGUCCCAAGGGUAUGGCUGUUCGCCAUUUAAAGUGGUACGCGAGCUGGGUUUAGAACGUCGUGAGACAGUUCGGUCCCUAUCUGCCGUGGGCGCUGGAGAACUGAGGGGGGCUGCUCCUAGUACGAGAGGACCGGAGUGGACGCAUCACUGGUGUUCGGGUUGUCAUGCCAAUGGCACUGCCCGGUAGCUAAAUGCGGAAGAGAUAAGUGCUGAAAGCAUCUAAGCACGAAACUUGCCCCGAGAUGAGUUCUCCCUGACUCCUUGA
rnacentral:rRNA from 1 species